GGAAGAGGGUGGGUCCAUCCGUGUCUGCUGCAUUUGGUCCCCAGCACCUUGGGGCUCCAUUGUUCUUUGCUGAACAUCCAGACUGGAUGGGCUGCUCAGCCAGCUGCCUUCCUGCCUCUUUUCACUGAUGGGCAUCUGUAUACAGUGUCAGGCAUUGUGAUGUCGGACAUGUUGGAGUCAGAACCCACCAUUCUCCAGAUCCACUGCUCAGGAAGAAGACAUUUCUGUAGUUGAGUACAUUCCAAAGUCUUUGUGUAAAAGAUGGGAUUGGAGAACAGUAGUGCAUCUUAAGAGAAGUGGGAAUGUUAGGGUUUGGAAUGUGAGGCACUACAGGAGGCUCGGUGUGAGCCGUCAGUGUGAGGGCUAUGGCAGCAUGGGCAGAGAAGCAAAUAGAAGUAGACACCCCAGGAAAAGACACGCAAAAGACAUGGAGCUGUACAAAGGGGUGUGUUUGUUUAUGGUGGAAAUGGUCUACGUAAUUAUGGAAGCCGGGAAGUUCUAUCAUCUGCCACUUGCAGCUUCAGACCCCAGGCAUGCUGGUGGUGCAAGUAUAAGGGAUUUUGAAUGAG
rnacentral:lncRNA from 1 species